rnacentral:rRNA from 1 species
GACGAACGCUGGCGGCGUGCUUAACACAUGCAAGUCGAACGAUGAAGCCCAGCUUGCUGGGUGGAUUAGUGGCGAACGGGUGAGUAACACGUGGGUGAUCUGCCCUGCACUCUGGGAUAAGCCUGGGAAACUGGGUCUAAUACCGGAUAUGACCUCUUGCUGCAUGGCGAGGGGUGGAAAGUUUUCGGUGCAGGAUGAGCCCGCGGCCUAUCAGCUUGUUGGUGGGGUAAUGGCCUACCAAGGCGACGACGGGUAGCCGGCCUGAGAGGGCGACCGGCCACACUGGGACUGAGACACGGCCCAGACUCCUACGGGAGGCAGCAGUGGGGAAUAUUGCACAAUGGGCGAAAGCCUGAUGCAGCGACGCCGCGUGAGGGAUGACGGCC